GGAAGACGACUGCAACGCCAAAUAUUCAAGCAAUGAUGUAUGGCAAAGUGAACCGAUCUAGCGAGGGGAGAGGAAGAAUCAAAACAGCAAGAAAAAGUUUUGUGUUGUGAAGAUCGUGUUCAGUGAAAAGGGGAAAAUAACAUCUGGAGAAGGAUUCCAGCAACUACUCAGCGAUAACAUAGCAAGUUAAGCAUUCCAUUAAAAUGUGAAUAGUGUGUAAAGAGAAGUGCAGAAAGCAAUGUGCGAUCGAAGUUGAGUCAGGAUGUGAUGAAGAAAUGUGUACAUGGUACAAAAGAGCUAACAUCGAUGACAAAGAGAGUGUUACAAAAAUAGGAUGAAAACAUUAAAGCAGGAUGGACAUCAUUUGUUGCUAACAAAAAGUGCAGAAAGCCAAGGAGAGGAGAGGGCACUUU
rnacentral:lncRNA from 1 species